rnacentral:rRNA from 1 species
AGAGUUGAUCCUGGCUUAGGACGAACGCUGGCGGCGUGCCUAACACAUGCAAGUCGAGCGAGGAAUUCACCUUCGGGUGAUGAACUAGCGGCGGACGGGUGAGUAACACGUGGGCAACCUGCCUCAUAGAGGGGAAUAGCCUUCCGAAAGGAAGAUUAAUACCGCAUAAGAUUGUAGUACCGCAUGGUACAGCAAUUAAAGGAGCAAUCCGCUAUGAGAUGGGCCCGCGGCGCAUUAGCUAGUUGGUGAGGUAACGGCUCACCAAGGCGACGAUGCGUAGCCGACCUGAGAGGGUGAUCGGCCACAUUGGGACUGAGACACGGCCCAGACUCCUACGGGAGGCAGCAGUGGGGAAUAUUGCACAAUGGGGGAAACCCUGAUGCAAGCAACGCCGCGUGAGUGAUGACGGUCUUCGGAUUGUAAAGCUCUGUCUUCGGGGACGAUAAUGACGGUACCCGAGGAGGAAGCCACGGCUAACUACGUGCCAGCAGCCGC